UCACCUUUACCAACACCAAGGGAGCCAGCCCUGAGAGUUCAUGCCAAGUCAUCUUUCUCCUGCUUUGUUCCCUGGAACUGAUAAACUGCUGCUUCGAAAAACCAGAAGGCCUUGCCUCUAUUUUGUUUUCAGUUCUACUCCCUAAGAGCCUCAGCAUAAAUAUGAGAGGAGAUAAAGGGAAAGUUAAGAAACUUCUGUUAGCAUUCUGAUGUUCAAACCCAAGUCUUGAUCUUCCUGUUGAGGGCCAUCCAAGAGCACCAUGAUGAAGUGGAAAGAGAUUGUUCACAAGAAUGAUCACUUACAGAAGACUGAGCCCAAGGCCCUUGCUGAUGGAUUCCCAGACUUAUAUGCAUCCGAGAUUGAAGAACUUAAACAUCUUGCCCUUGCCAUGACCACAAAUCAGAGAGUAAUAAAAUUUAAUGUCCAUGGACUUUGACCUUCAAAAGACCAAAGACAGGCUGUUUCAAGAACGCGGUCUUGAACAAUUUGUUGACAUCUUCACAAAAGAAAAAUAAUUCUCUAAAUCAGUAACUGAGUCUCCGGAAGGUUUCUUCUUGGAAACCCCCACAUAGUCUCAUGAGCACCUACAAUGACAGAAAGGGAAGCCGGAGUGCCUACACUUUUUAUCUAGCCUCCCUUGCAAAUACAGAUGACUAUGUCACAUACUUCUGGCCACAGAGACUGAAGCAGAGGUCUGCUGGGGGACCUUCUGGAAAACAUAUGCUUCACUGAUAAAAGGGACAGAUAGAGUUUAUUGAUAUCUUACAGCUAACAUUAUAAUUAAUGAGGGAAAACAGAAAGUCCACUAAAAUCCAGUACAAGACAAGGAUGUCCACUCUUGUCACUUCUA
rnacentral:lncRNA from 1 species